rnacentral:rRNA from 1 species
CUUGACAUGUUAGAAGUAGGAACCCAAAGGGGGACGACCAGUAUCCAAUCUGGAGCUAACACAGGUGCUGCAUGGCUGUCGUCAGCUCGUGCCGUGAGGUGUAUGGUUAAGUCCCACAAUGAGCGCAACCCUCGUCGCUAGUAAUUUCCCUAGCGAGACCGCCUCGCAAAACGAGGAGGAAGGCGGGGAUGGCGUCAAGUCAGCAUGGCCUUUAUACCCUGGGCGACACACACGCUACAAUGGGUGGUACAGUAGGUAGCGAAGGAGCGAUCCGGAGCAAAUCCUUAAAACCAUCCUCAGUACGGAUUGCAGGCUGAAACCCGCCUGCAUGAAGCCGGAGUUGCUAGUAACCGCAUAUCAGCAUGGUGCGGUGAAUACGUUCUCGGGCCUU